rnacentral:rRNA from 1 species
AGCAGCCGCGGUAAUUCCAGCUCCAAUAGCGUAUAUUAAAGUUGUUGCAGUUAAAAAGCUCGUAGUUGAAUUUCGGAGUUUGUCGGUUGGUCGGGCUUCACUGUCCGCACUGGCCUGAUGGAUUCCUACCUUCUGAAUAACCAGCAUGCUAUUAAUUUAGUGCGUUGGGGAAGCAGAGCUAUUACCUUGAAAAAUUAGAGUGCUUAAAGCAGGCUUACGCUUGAAUAGAUUAGCAUGGAAUAAUAAAAUAGGACGGCUUGGUUCUAUUUUGUGGUUUCUAGGAUCACCGUAAUGAUUAAUAGGGAUAGUUGGGGGCAUUAGUAUUCAAUUGUCAGAGGUGAAAUUCUUGGAUUUAUUGAAGACUAACUUCUGCGAAAGCAUUUGCCAAGGAUGUUUUCAUUAAUCAAGAACGAAAGUUAGGGGAUCGAAGACGAUCAGAUACCGUCGUAGUCUUAACCAUAAACUAUGCCGACUAGGGGUCGGACGAUGUUAAUUUUUUAAUGACUCGUUCGGCGCCUUA